GUGAGGAAUAUUGCACAAUGGGAGCAAUCCUGAUGCAGCGACGCCGCGUGCGGGAUGAAGGGGCUUAGCCUCGUAAACCGCUGUCGGAGGGGACGAAUGGUACAUUUGAUGUACUGAGACGGUACCCUCAAAGGAAGGAUCGGCUAACUACGUGCCAGCAGCCGCGGUAAUACGUAGGAUCCGAGCGUUGUCCGGAAUUACUGGGUGUAAAGGGUGCGUAGGCGGACUUGUGCGUCAGAGGUGAAAUCCACGGGCUUAACCCGUGGGGUGCCUUUGAUACGGCAAGUCUUGAGUGCGAGAGAGGUGGGUGGAAUUCCUGGUGUAGCAGUGAAAUGCGUAGAUAUCAGGAGGAACACCGAUGGCGAAGGCAGCCCACCGGCUCGCAACUGACGCUGAGGCACGAAAGCGUGGGGAUCAAACAGGAUUAGAUACCCCAGUAGUCC
rnacentral:rRNA from 1 species